rfam:Pontibacillus chungwhensis BH030062 contig8, whole genome shotgun sequence.
UUAAUUGGAAGCUCGACUAAAACCGCCACGUCCUGUGGCAACGUCGAACGACCCCACAUCGUGUGGG